GAGAGUCUUAUCUGAAAUUGUUUCGUUCAUGUAAUUUUCGAGGGCUAAACUUUUUUAAGUGGGAGAGAGUUGUAACACCGCGAAUUCAAUUAGUUUAUUUAAUUAAUUUUUUGUUAUUUUUAUUUAAUUAUUUAAAUGAUUUAGAAUGUUUUAAUUAUUUAUUUUGGUGAUAAUGUGUGUUAUGGCUAUUUGGCAAUUGUGAGUAUUUUUGGGAGAUUUUAUAGAG
rnacentral:lncRNA from 1 species